rnacentral:misc_RNA from 1 species
ACACAGCACUUUCAUCCAUACAAACAUCUGUCACAUAGUGGCAUAUUAGAGAAACCAGACUGUUUUCCAGUGCCACAUCAAACAAAGCAUACAGACGCUGGAUAUCAGCAACCAGUUGCUUAUCACUGUCCUCUUUCUCUUGUAAUCUGUCAUCACACCUCUUGGAGAUGAGACCUGCCUCAAUGCACUCAUAGUAUAGGCGCAGUCGAAGUCUAUUAGCAUCUUUUGGCAAAGAGAUCCUACAUAUGGGGCAAACUUCACAUCUCUGACUGCAUUCCUCGCAUAAAGAGGCAUGACCACAUGAAUUCAACACACUCUGUACAUGUCGUCCACAACUUCUUAGAUCUCUAGUUGCUCGGCAGUGCUCUACUUUGGCCUCAUCGCAUAAUUCCAGUGGAUCAAUUGAUGCUAAAUGCUUCAAUGCUCCCUGUACACGGCGACAAGUGUAGUUCGGAGGGCAAGGUGGAGGAGAAUACCGGAGACCGGAACCGCCGGUAACAGAGUGAUGAAGUAGUGAGGAUUCGUCGAAUCUCCUUCUCUCCAUUAGUUGAGAAAUUUCUUUAGCCCAAACCUAAUGGCCGUUGUACACAAAUGAGAUUUCGAAGCGUAACUAACAGAGUUUCAGCGCAACGCCGCCGUUGUUGCCGGUGACGGGAGGAGGAGAAGAGUAGAGAGGGAGGGUUUUUGAAACACUUUUCAAG